UACAGAGGGGGCAAGCGUUGUUCGGAAUUACUGGGCGUAAAGGGCGCGUAGGCGGCCUUCUAAGUCGAACGUGAAAUCCCCGGGCUCAACCCGGGAACUGCGUCCGAUACUGGAAGGCUUGAAUCCGGGAGAGGGAUGCGGAAUUCCUGGUGUAGCGGUGAAAUGCGCAGAUAUCAGGAGGAACACCGGUGGCGAAGGCGGCUUGCUGGGCCAGUUCUGACGCUGAGGAGCGAAAGCGUGGGGAGCGAACAGG
rnacentral:rRNA from 1 species